ensembl:lncRNA
UGACUGUGUGGCUGAACUGACUAUGUGGCAAUCCUUUGGCCUCAGCCUCCCAAGUGCUGGGAUUACAGAAUAGCUGGAAAAGGAGGGCCCUGUGUGGCAGUUCCUGGGCUGAGAAAACCAUGUGUCAAAGUUGUGGCUCAAUCCUUCACUCUAUUUUUACCCUCCUGACACUACCUCUUUGAGUCCUGAGGAGGGGCCCUGGCCUGAGGCGGCCUGAGCCGGCGUCUCUGAGGCACAUGUGGCCAGCCUUGGCCUCCUCCAGAAACCACCCCAAAG